ensembl:lncRNA
AACUUUCAAACGAAUCCUUAAAACUUAGGGAUGUACUUAUUUAAAUAAUAUUAUUUAUAUUGUCAUUCACUUUUAUUUACUUUUGUAUUUUUAAUUGUAAAUAGUUAUAUUAUACAUUAUUUUUUUUGCAUAUGCAUUAUUAGCAUUUAUGUUAUUUAUAUGUGUACAUAUUAUAUAUAAAAUUAAAAAAGAUGUAAAACUCUUAUUUUUUUUUAAGUUCUUGUUGUACAAUAAAUACAACAAUCAAUUAACUCAACAUUUAUUAAACAUUAAUACAAAAAACAUAACUUUUUAAACCUAUUAAAUAAACAAAUAGCAACUUAAUUAUUGCUUAUCACAAAAAAAAAAAAAAAAAAAAAAAAAUAAGAAAUUAAUAAAAAAAAUAAGAUCAAUCAUCCUGCAUUAUUGUAAUUUAUCAUUUAUUAAUACUACAACAAACACUAAAAAUUUUUUCUUAUUUUUAUUAAUUAUUCACAUAUAUGAAUUAAUAUUAAGAUGCAAAAACUACUAUAACUAAUUAACUUUAAUUCAUAAAAAAAAUUUUAUUUUUUUUAUUUUCUAAUAAAUAAUGCCUAGUUCAUAGUAAAUUUGUUAGAACAAUUUUAAAAAGAAUGUAUUAAAUAAUAAAUAUACGUUUCGUGUAAUCUCCUAUACAUAUAUAAUAUUUUUUUUUUUGUAAGUGUCGCUUAAAUUUAUGCAAUUUUUUUUUUUUUUUUUUUUGCAUUAUAUUUUAUUAUGUCAUCAUUUCUAGCAUUAAAAACAUAUUUGUUCUAUUGUUUAUUAAUAAAAUUAUAAAACUAUACAAUUUGUAUUAUUAAAAAUAUUUAAAUAAAAAUGUAAUUAAGAAAACAUGAUAUAAUAUAUUAAAUAUAUUAGUAACGGAAGAAAUCAUUACCACAUCUCAAUUUAUAAUAAAAGAAUGUUUACCAUAAAUUAUAAAAUAAUUAUUAUUCCAUUAUUUAUAUGGGCAUGGACUAAUAAUAACAAGACUCGCUUAAAAAAUAUAAUCACGGUGAACUAUAGUAGAUCACUAGUUCAGCGCGAUAUCGUUCCUAACCAACAGAAUGACCAUCCUUAUUUAACAAAAUAUGAUGACAUAUACGAUUGUUCUAAACAUUUUGAACAAUAUAUUAUUAGAGAUCAAGAUCUAAAUGAGAAUAUUUUUAAAUAUGAUGAGCACUUUCCAAAUAAAUUAACUUUUUUAACCGAUAUUUUAAACGAAAUAAUUAAAAUAUUAAUAAAAAAACAGGAUCCUAUAUUAAAGGAUAUACUAAAAAAAAUAAAAACAUACAAGAUAAAAAUGUACUAGAUGUAUAUGACUUUAUAAAACAUGCCGUUUCAAGUGAAGAAUAUUUACGAAUUGUAAAUGAAAGUUAUGAAUCAUUAAAAAGUAAAAGUUCUGACUUUAAUGACAUUUAUGAAACAUAUUACAACAAUAUAUUACAUUUAUUAAAUACAUAUUUUUAUCUUACCAACAGUAAAAAAAAUUUUAAAAAACGCCUUAUGCAAUUACAACAAGAUGGUCACGAGACACUAAUAAUUAAAAGAAAUAAACCUAAAUUCAAAAUGAAAUAUUUAAAUAUA